rnacentral:rRNA from 1 species
UACGUAGGGUGCAAGCGUUUGUCCGGAAUUAUUGGGCGUAAAGAGCUCGUAGGCGGCCUGUCGCGUCCGCUGUGAAAACCCGGGGCUUAACCCCCGGGCCUGCAGUGGAUACGGGCAGGCUGGAGGCAGGCAGGGGAGAACGGAAUUCCCGGUGUAGCGGUGAAAUGCGCAGAUAUCGGGAGGAACACCGGUAGCGAAGGCGGUUCUCUGGGCCUGUACUGACGCUGAGGAGCGAAAGCGUGGGGAGCGAACAGG